GGGCGGCGUUUCCCGCGUCCCUGCGGGCGCGUGGCCGUGUCCGAGCGCGCCGCUCCGGCCCGCGUCCCUCCCGUAGCCACCGAGAAAUGACUGUGUGGCUGGUUCCAUUAAAUUCAGUUGCAUAUGAAACAAUUAGAUUAGGCUACGCAGCUAAUUAACGGCAACCUGAGUGGCGAAAGCUUCGUUAGGGGCGCAGUGUUAGUGCUACGGGCGGUGGAGGUGUCCUCGCCGUCCCCGCCGAUAUUUAUGCAGCUGGGGGGAGGUUUUUUAGACUUCUGUACUGGCGGGGACCCGAGGGACGGCGCUUGCAGACCUGGCCGCAGCGAUGCUCAUGUGCUGCUUUCUGGUAAUUUUCUAUUAAUUGUUUGCACUCCCUAUGUGUCUUCAAUCCAUUAGUUACACUUCCAGGGAUCGCAGCAGCCAGUGAGCUCUCCGGUCUGCCAAGGCUCCUGCAACGUCUUCCCCGCGAUCAUCCCCAAAGCUAAUGUUUAUAAUGCAGUUGAAGCAAUCCAUAUCAGGCCUUGUCCCCCUGCUCCUCGUUCAGCCAAAUGCAGCGAGAGCAUCAUUGCCGGAUUCUCUCGGGGUCGUGCCUGCGGAGCGAUGAUAAGGGAAUCGGAUUUUAGUGGCGACAUAGAGGUGAAAUCCAAAGAUCCAGAAUAUUUAGUUAUGUUUACCCACAGUAAUCAGCUUCUCAAAUAGAUGUCACUGGGAAAGCUCUCACUACAUUGAUUGCACUGUUCCCCAUUUUCUGCCCAGGGGCAAACAGCUCUGAUUAAUAUUUCACAACACUUUUUUUUUCCUUGUGCUCGGAGAGCCUUGAUAGAGAGACACAGAAUAUUUUACCAUCUCUUGUGUUUGCCUGCUCCAGUAAUCAUUGGAUUCAAUCACUCUUGCAAUGUUUUUAUGAAUUAAUAACAGGCACUUUGGAGGGCUAGCGGGGAGAUGGGAAAUGCAAUCUGCAGAACCUUAAUGAGCACCGUGGGGACCAGAUACCAUGGUUUCUGAAACCCUCUCUGCGGCUCACUCUAAAUCAUCGUCUCUGAAAUUACCUGCUUCCCGUCCGCUCGAGAUGGCUCUCGUUUGCAGGGAAGGCUUGGGAUGACUUCGAGCCACACCUUUCUCUUUGCCGGUGAUCUCCGUAAAAGGAACAGCAAUAAGGCAACCGAAAUACAUAACGCCAGAGCCUUACAAAAUACACACACAGUCCUUUAAUAAUGAAGAAAGCAGAUGAUAUAUGAGACACUCGGAGCCUGUUAGCACUUCUGUGCAUCACCGCUGAAGAUUUUCGGGAAGGAGUUGUAUUACCUGGCUAAAAGGAAGACGAGUUUCCCUCCGAGUCCCGUGGUGUGGAUGAAGCGCAGGGAGCGCGGCACAGAGGGACCCUGGCCAAGAUCGGAGCAUCGCCGUGACAGGCGACGAGGACCUGCAGUGCAAAUAAAUUCCAAAUUAAAUUAAUAAAAUGGAGUCACCAUGGUUAUGAAUCUGUGCAAAGCAGCGGGGCUCCGACUGUGCCUUGAGAAGAGCAGAGCCAGGGCCGCGCUCGCAUCCUCAGCUGCCCCGUGAUUGCGGGUGGACUCGUUUAUUUUCGAGCAGGCCGGCACGGGCGAGCUCCCGGGGUCUCGGCAGAGAGCAGGCGUCACGGAGCAGCUCCCCUUCCAGGCAGCCAGGAAGGUUUUCCAUGUC